UUUUUCGCCUAAAAAUGGGUCUGUUGACAUAUCGAAAUUUGAAAUACGUGCUAGAUAGUAUAGAUAUUAUAUUAUAGUUAGAGAUAAAAAUGAAUUAAAUAAAAAUUCACAAUAGAUAUUCUCAAAUUGGUAAAAAUUUGGAUAAGCAUAAAUUUUUUUCUAUUGUAGAAAUAAAGAGGAAAUAAAAGUUUUUUUAAUUCUAUUAUUUUUUUACGUAAGGAAAGAGGAAUCAAUUUUUUUUUCCGACAAAUAUAUAUAUAUAUAUAUAUAUAUAUAUAGUCCGGCUAUUAUACUUUUAUGAGUAUAGAGCCUAUUGUACUCAUAAGUUUUUGGCCGUUAGAUCUGCCCUUUAAUCAUUUUCACCCGUUAGAUUAUACUAUUCAACCAACCACCCACUCAACCCUAGGGGACCCACUAUCAAUCCAAUCGUAACCACUUUCAUUCUAACCGCACAUUUUUUAAUCUGAACGGUCGAAAACUUAUAAGUACAAAGGGCUCUAUACUCAUAUGAGUGUAGUAGCCCCAGCCUAUAUAUACAUAUAUGUGUGGUUAUGUAUAUUAUAUAUUAAUAUUUUUAAGACAAAGUUGU
rnacentral:lncRNA from 1 species